AUUAAACUUUAGGAGUAGCUAGGUAACUAGUUUGAGAAAUAUCCUUAGAACCUGAUUUGGUUAAUACCAACGUAGGAAAAAGUCAUUCUUAAAUG
rnacentral:ncRNA from 1 species